rnacentral:rRNA from 1 species
UACGUAGGGGGCUAGCGUUGUCCGGAUUUAUUGGGCGUAAAGAGCGUGUAGGCGGCCAGGUAGGUCCGUUGUGAAAACUCGAGGCUCAACCUCGAGACGUCGGCGGAAACCCUUUGGCUAGAGUCCGGAAGAGGAGAGUGGAAUUCCUGGUGUAGCGGUGAAAUGCGCAGAUAUCAGGAAGAACACCCGUGGCGAAGGCGGCUCUCUGGGACGGUACUGACGCUGAGACGCGAAAGCGUGGGGAGCAAACAGG